rnacentral:rRNA from 1 species
GACGAACGCUGGCGGCGUGCUUAACACAUGCAAGUCGAACGGAAAGGCCCUGCUUUUGUGGGGUGCUCGAGUGGCGAACGGGUGAGUAACACGUGAGUAACCUGCCCUUGACUUUGGGAUAACUUCAGGAAACUGGGUCUAAUACCGGAUAGGAGCUCCUGCUGCAUGGUGGGGGUUGGAAAGUUUCGGCGGUUGGGGAUGGACUCGCGGCUUAUCAGCUUGUUGGUGGGGUAGUGGCUUACCAAGGCUUUGACGGGUAGCCGGCCUGAGAGGGUGACCGGCCACAUUGGGACUGAGAUACGGCCCAGACUACUACGGGACGGAGGAGUGGGGAAUAGUGCACAAUGGGCAGAAGCCUGAUGCAGCAGCGCCGCGUGCGGGAUGACGGCCUUCGGGUUGUACACCGCUUUCCCUGUGACGAAGCGUGAGUGACGGUAAUGGGUAAAGAAGCACCGGCUAACUACGUG